rnacentral:lncRNA from 1 species
GAAUGGUCAGUAAAAGCCAUACAACUCACUACGAAGCCUCUUUCAUUAUUUCAUUUUACCUCCAACCUUUUUAUAUUCCCUCCAUUCCUUUUUAUCCCAUCAAAAUCAAACUUUUCCCCCUGAAAAAUAUAUUGAUUUCAUAGAUUAUCUUUUUCAUCCCUCAUAUAUGUCUCCACAUAUCACUGUUUCUCGCCGUCGUAAAGGCUAUUAGCCACCAUGGAUGCUAACUAACUCUCAUAUGAACUUUUUCUAUGUCAUUCCUUUCUCACAAACCAAGUAGAAAGUAGUGCCUCUUCUUCUGCUCUCAAGGAAGUUCGAUCUAUUGGUUGUCCUUGUGCAUUACAGAUGAGGGAAGUGAUGGAGAAAGUCGGGAAGGUAUUUUUCCAAAUUAUUAUUUUUUGUCACCAUGUACUUUCUAUCGAAAUGGGAGGACCUUUAGUUUUUGAUAUUUUGAUUUCUAGAAUUUCAAAUAUGUUGAUAAUUUCUAUAUUAUUGGGGAUUUUGCUCAAAAUGCUACGUAAUUCAGGUGUGAAUUAUUAAAGUAUCUGGAACUUGAAUUAUUCUAUGCAUAGGGCUUUUUUCUUUACUUACUUAUUUGUUAUUACAAUGUUCACUUGUAAUAUGUAAAUUUAUAAGUGUAUAUAUUGGUUGCUGAUUCCAAUGGUCUCAGAAUAUUAGUCAAAACUUGUAGGUUUCUUUGAAAAAUUCAUAUUUUAGUUUGGUCUUAUAUACCAACAAGAUGUUCCAGAAGAUGUGAUGACUGAGGAAUAUCAUACUUGGAAUUCUCAGAUACUCUUGAUAGAUAAUUUAUUGUUUUAACAUUGUCACAUGCCUUAUUCAGUUGUUAAAUGAACAUUAUGCAAUUUUUACUUUUUUCUCGUUUCUUUUCUUUGCAAGCCAAUUAAGAUAACCCAAAAUCUUCAAAAUGCACCCGAUGAUUACAGGUGCUAGGUUUCUCUAUGUGACACCAUCCUUAUUCUCCCCUAGCAUAUAUAUUUUUUGUUUUUAAUUCAAGUUCGUUUAAGAGGGAAAUGAGUAUUAAAACAUGAAAGAAAAACCUUGAAAUCUAAGGUUCGAAUUUUACUACAACACUCUAUAUGUGUUAGCCUGUAGGCUAUAAUAGGCUGUAAAGAUGGUCCGUACGCCAUCUUUAUCAAAUAAUAAAAGAAAUAGAGAAAAAUAAAGAUUGAAAGUUCUGAUUUUGUAAACUUUAUUGGGAUUAAGCUUGAAUGCUGCAUUUAUCUCUUAGAGGUCCAUUUGAAGUUUGUUUUUUGAACUGCCUUUAAUUGUUCAACUGAAUCUUUUAUCUGCUUUAUUGAGAUGUAACUCAUGAAUACUUCUCUAGGUGAUUGUGAAAUUUCCUAUAUGGAAUAUACAAGAUUUGUUUGGCUUAAGUUGGAAAAACUGUAUCUUGGCAUGGCAGCUAAGAUGGGUCUAUGAGAUUUGAAGGAAAAAGUUCCAUUUUUGGUGUUUCUUCUGUCUCAUAAGGCUAACUAUUGCUUGCAACCAUUGCAUGUUUUAAAGCUCUUUUGGUUUUUUCUGAAAAAAGGGGACUUUUUAGCCUCCCCGUUGCCUUGAUUGUGCUAAAAGAUUGAGUCUCUAAGGUUGCACUGCUUUUUCCCUGUGAGUUCAUAGUUGAUGAAUUUUGUUGGUGUAAAGACAAGUUAUGCCGGCAUGAUGAGCUUGAUCGACAACUUCAAAGAGGCGAUGCUGAUUUUUUAAAUCUAUCAUUCCCUUCUAAGCUUAUUAAUUGUGCAUUUGCGAUUAUCUGGCACGUCUCUUGGCGGGGCCUGCCCCCAGAUUUUUUGGUAAUUUUUGCUGUCAUGGCGUCGUCGAAUCUAUUUUUCCUUGAGCUAUAACACAGAUCUGAGCCUUAAAGAGGAAACACAAAAAUUGUGAAAAUCUGAUUAGCUUAAAUCCGAGGUUGCGAUGAAAGCAGAGAGCAGUUGGGAGUUUUAAUGGGUGGUUUUGCACCUCUCUGUCAUUCUCGGCUGCUGAUGAUCAUUGAUGAACUUUUCUGAUUGCAAAACCACCCUUUUUGUGAAAUUUCACAUGAUCUUCCUCUUUUCCUUUUCCUGUUACUCACCUUGUUUCAAUUAUGAGCAAUGAGACUAUGAAGAUUUUAUCGUCUGCUGAAGGUGAGAAGAUGAAUCAGACAUAUUUCUAUUGAGCUGAAGAAAACUGUAAUUUCGUGUUGCACACUCAUCCAGCCUGCAUUUUGUUUUAAAUCAAAUUCUUGGAGUUGUUUUCUUCUGACCGUCUUGAGUUAGAAAAUAGCAGAGGUCCUCUAAUCUUUGAUACCUGAACUGUGUUUGCUUAGUCUUGUUUUUGGAAGUGUUCAUCAGUUUUUGUUUCUUGACAGAGUGAGUAGUAAGACGAGACCAGUUAUUUAAUAGCAAGUAAUUUAUAGUUAUUCAUUAGAAGACAUCCACACUAUCUGGAUUAGAUAUUCUUAUGUUGACAUAAUUAUUUUAUAAUUUCAGGUCAUACCGUAUGAUAUUGGACAUUUUAGCAGCUAAAAGAUUUCAAAAUGAUGAAAAGUUGCGGAAAUCAUUUGAAGACUAUCAUUUGGAUUAGUUAUAUAAUGACAUUAGCUAUUUAGUCUAAAUUAUAUAUUUUUAUGUUUUAAGUUAAUGUGAUAUUAAUAUUUUUUAUUAGUACUUCCUUUUGUUUGUUAAGAUAAUGAGAUACAUUUAUAUUUUUUUCGAAUUAAUAUAUUUUAUUAUUUGAGUCAUAUUAUGUACGAAUGUAGUAACUAUUAUUAAUUGUGGCUAAACUACUUAUAAUUGAUGUAAAAUAAAAU